CCAGCAGCCGCGGUAAUUCCAGCUCCAAUAGCGUAUACUAAAGUUGUUGCAGUUAAAAAGCUCGUAGUUGAAUUUCUGGUCUUGGAUAGUGGUCUGUCAUUAAUUUGAUUUGUACCUUUUGUCUGAGUCCAUCUUCGAAGGAAACAUAUCUGUCAUUCAGUUGAUGGGUGUGGGAUCUUCGUCUUUUACUGUGAGCAAAUUAGAGUGUUCAAAGCAGGCUUAUGCCGUUGAAUAGAUUAGCAUGGAAUAAUAAGAUAAGACCUUGGUCUAUUUUGUUGGUUUGUCUCCAAGGUAAUGAUUAAUAGGGAUAGUUGGGGGUAUUCGUAUUCAAUUGUCAGAGGUGA
rnacentral:rRNA from 1 species